CCUACGGGAGGCAGCAGUGAGGAAUAUUGGUCAAUGGGCGGGAGCCUGAACCAGCCAAGUCGCGUGAGGGAAGACGGUCCUAUGGAUUGUAAACCUCUUUAGGCGGGGAGCAAUGCCGGGCACGCGUGCCCGGAGGGCGAGUACCCGCAGACUAAGCAUCGGCUAACUCCGUGCCAGCAGCCGCGGUAAUACGGAGGAUGCGAGCGUUAUCCGGAUUUAUUGGGUUUAAAGGGGGCGUAGGUGGAUUUUUAAGUCAGCGGUAACAUGUGCGGGCUCAACCCGGGCCGGCCGUUGAAACUGGGGAUCUUGAGUGGGCGAGAAGUAUGCGGAAGUCGUGGUGUAGCGGUGAAAUGCUUAGAUAGCACGAAGAACUCCGAGUGCGAAGGCAGCUUACUAAACUGCCACUGACAUUGAUGCUCGAAAGUGUGGGUAUCAAACAGGAUUAGAUACCCGAGUAGUC
rnacentral:rRNA from 1 species